rnacentral:rRNA from 1 species
AUUGAACGCUGGCGGAAUGCUUUACACAUGCAAGUCGAACGGCAGCACGGACUUCGGUCUGGUGGCGAGUGGCGAACGGGUGAGUAAUGUAUCGGAACGUGCCCAGUCGUGGGGGAUAACGUAGUGAAAAUUACGCUAAUACCGCAUACGAUCUAUGGAUGAAAGCGGGGGAUCGCAAGACCUCGCGCGAUUGGAGCGGCCGAUAGCAGAUUAGGUAGUUGGUGGGGUAAAGGCCCACCAAGCCAACGAUCUGUAGCUGGUCUGAGAGGACGUCCAGCCACACUGGAACUGAGACACGGUCCAGACUCCUACGGGAGGCAGCAGUGGGGAAUUUUGGACAAUGGGCGAAAGCCUGAUCCAGCCAUUCCGCGUGCAGGAUGAAGGCCCUCGGGUUGUAAACUGCUUUUGUACAGAACGAAAAGGUUUCUACUAAUACUAGAAGCUCAUGACGGUACUGUAAGAAUAAGCACCGGCUAACUACGUGCCAGCAGCCGCCGUAA